rnacentral:misc_RNA from 1 species
GAUGAAGAACGUAGCGAAAUGCGAUAAGUAAUGUGAAUUGCAGAAUUCAGUGAAUCAUCGAAUCUUUGAACGCACCUUGCGCCUUUUGGUAUUCCGAAAGGCACACCUGUUUGAGCGUCAUGAAUACCUCAAACUCCAUCUUUUCUUCGGAUUGAUGGGUGACUUGGAUGUUGAGCCCUGCUGGUAUGCUAUAUCAGCUGGCUUUAAACUUAUUAGCCGGCUCUGUACUGGAUCGGUUUGACUCGACGUGAUAAUAUUAUCGUUGAGGAUGCAUGUCUCAUGCAGCCGGAAAGUAUCAAAGCAGCUUCUAGCUUGCCUUUAGUGCACUUUUACAUUUUAGACCUCAGAUCAGGUGGGACUACCCGCUGAACUUAAGCAUAUCAAUAAGCGGAGGA